GCGGAGAAAACCUCUGCCCCAAAAUACAACAGAACUGAAAGCAUUACAGGUACAGAGACUAUUGAACACAGAGAGUAGUAGGAUAAUAUUUUUAAUACAACUGAAUUAUAGCAUGGUUUUGUGUUUUUGUUGGUUUUUUUCGUUUGUUUUCUGUCAAACCAUUUUGGAAAAUAAAUGUAAUAGGAACUAGUGCAAAAAAGUUCUAAACAUGAAGCACAGUGUAUAAAAUGGCAUAAGAAAACUGUCCCCUCGAGGACACAGUCACUUUCUUAUGACAGAGGGGAGAAAGAGAAACAGAAGGGGGGUGGGAACAGAGAGGGAGGGUCCGGGAGGCAGAGGAAGAAAGCUGGAAAGAAAGAGAAACCGGGCAGGGGGAUUAGAAAGAAUAUUUUGACUUCAGCAGUAUGCUUUUUUUUUUUUUUUCACCUCGCCACCACGUACUGUAAAAGGACCUUUUUUUUGUAGGUCUGAGCUCUGUAACCACCGACAUUUCACAAGCACUUGAGAAGGGUUCGGUCACAAGCAGCCUGGUCACACACACAGGCAAAGCCGCCCCGGCGGGGGUGCUCCGGUCCCUGCCGAGGUCCCCCCCGUGCCCCUCGCGCCUGCCGGCGUGCCGGGACCCCCCCCCAGCCCGGCCCUUGCCGGCAGCAGAGGGGCAGAGGGACCUCGCCUCGGCUGCCAGAAACAGCAUCUCCCACACUUUGAACGGAGGCGGGCAAGGACGCUUUCUUUGGGGCUCUCUUCAGUACUCUCCCUUAAAACGGUUCUCGUCGAACCACGGCGUUUGCUUUUCUCGCUUUGUGGCAUCCCUGCCAGACCAGCGCAUUUAAUUUCUUCCAAAUUUAAACUCCCAUGAACAUGUGGGAGUAUCUCUGGUUUUGAAGGCAUCCCGUAACUGUGAUGUCUGAAUGUAUUGGAGGCUAGAAGAAGCUGGAUUCAUUUUGGUUUGAAAAGAAAACAGAGCUUGUUUAGAGGGAUGGCUGGGGGCACCCGCCACCAGCCGAGGACCUAGAGAAGAAGACAUGCCUCCUCCCAGGCAGCAGCACCUCAGCAGCGAAUUCCCACGCGGAACGUGCCCGAGCGGUUCCCAAGGUGUGUUACCCCGGACUGAAACCGUCCUGGUAAGAAAGGCAGCUCUCCCAUUUGCUUUCACCGCGGAGCCGCUCAACCUACUGCCCCCAAGAAACUGGCUGGAUGCUAUUUUAAGUAGAGCUGGUUGGAAUUCCUUACAAAUUGCUAUUCUCUCCGAAUCCACUGCCACCAGUUCCAACUGUGCGAGCAGAAAAAGUGUGAUUGAUUUUUUUCAUUUUAUUUUUUUGAAAAUGAAAGGUUUUGUGGGAAAGGGCUGUUCUUGAUACAUUUCUCAAUUUGAAAAAAAAUUGGUCAUAAUUAUCAAUAUGGCUUGUUUUGACAAGUUUCAAAAUUAAAAAAAAACAAAACUGUCUGGCUUGAAAUGUCUUUUUGUUUUGCAACUCAAGCACGUACAGUUCCCAAAUACGUUUAAAAAUGGGAAAACCAAACCCAAAUUUCAUAAGCCAAACCUAAUUUUUUUUUUCGAGUUUCAGUUUACAACAAGCGAAGCUGUCGACUUCCUGGGCUGAAAAAGGAUCAUCACAAAAUGCUAACGAGACUGGAAACCGCUCCCAAUCUUGUUUCGAACAAAAGUACUAGAUACGCAGCCUGUGACGUGAAGCUGGAGGAACGGUGUUUAGAAACGCAGCCCACCUCCCGCCCGAGAACACCCAGCCCUGCGAGCCGGGGCUGGGAGCUUCGAUAAAAUCCCAACAACUGCUAAAAGGGAUUAUUUUUUUUUUUUUUUGGUUACGAUCCUUAUUUUAACUUAUUUAUCCUUCGCGGACGGCCACAGCGCUUCCUCUGCUCCCUUCACCCCAGCAGGGCAGAACUGCAGGUCCCUUUGGAAACCGCCCUGGCGCAGCUGAUGGCGGUGACCUCCCUCGCAGGGUCUCAGCGCAGCUCUGCACGACCCGGGGCAGAGGUAAAACCCCUCCUUCCCCUACGCCCGGCGCCCCCCGCCCGGCGGGACGAGCAUCCACCGGCCUGCGUCCAGGGAGGAGGCAGCUGCACGUCCUGCACAGGCCAAGCUGCAGGCGGCCACGUGUGGGACCCCCCCCGAGGACCAGCCUGUGGGUGGUGGGGCGAGCCCCGUUUUUGGGAGCCCCAUUUUUGGGAGGAUGCUCUUCUCUGCUCAGCCACGGGGAGCGUGGUCGGUGCUGGCUUCAUUGUUUGAGAUGGAGCCCGGGGGCUGGGGCUGCGGGAAUGGUGUAAAACACCUGGAUUUUCAGCAGUCGGGUCCUGACUCUCGGCUGGCACUCGGAGGACAAGCAGAGCAGGCUUUCCCUAUCCCCUUCCCUGCAGCGAUGCACAGGGCUGGAAGCAGUCGCCCAAAGAGAACACCCAAAAAGAGCUGCUGAAAAGCUUCACUCCUGAAAUAAAACUAAAUGAUGCUUGGACCUGUGCAGCCCCCCCAGAGCUGCCGUGAUCCAGGAGUCCCAAACAGGCUCCUCCUGGGGGGAGAAGGGGUGAUCACGGAGUUUCCUAAUGUAGGUACCUCUGUCACCCCGCUGGGAUGCCCAAGAGCUGACUUUGAUGGGUUGAAGUAGAUCGUUAUUAACGUCCUGCCUGAACAUCAGACACUGCCCUUCCUGACCUUUCAGGUAUAAUUUAAGGGAGAUUUAUACCCCCAUGGAUGGGAAGCCACAGGGCAGCUCAAAAAGUCUGUAAACAAAAUUGUCUGCCACAUCGCAUAGAUUUUAAUAGGGAUUUUCGCAGAAUCCAAGUACGUUUCUGUCCCGAUUUUUCUCUACCAAUUUCUAUAGGCAUUCCUUUCCAGGGUAGUAGCGAGGUAUCAUAUUAUAAUUUAUCACAAGCCGCUGCAUGGCUUUUUGAGGGCAGAGCCUUCAGUCCCAAGGCUGAGCACCAGGCAGCGCCCCUCCCUGCAGGAUGGGGGGUACCCUGUCCCACCGGCCGCGCAAUCGGCCCCGCUCCGUGCUGUCAAUCACCCACCUCCCCUGCCAACGCGGCGCGGGGAGACCUCGCCGGCCAGAAGGGAUGGACAGAGCUCGGCAAUGGGAAACUUCAUCGCAUCGCCGAGGAGGAUCCUGCCGCGGGAGCAGCAGAUAUCAGGGAUUUUCUUUUUUCUUUUUUUAAACGCGGGCAGAGGCACCGUCUCCCAGCAUCGCCUGCAGUCCUGAGUGGCAGUGAAUGAACUGCCCUGACAUCUCCUAUUGAAGCAAAGCAAAAUGUGUUGAACAAAAACCAUUUCAAGAUGUUUUCUGAGUGUUGCCAAGUUACUCAACAUGUUCUGCUUUAGUUGUCAGAUGCUUUCAAAGCGAUUUCCCUAACUCAGAGCACGAAUGGUGAGGGCUCUCCCUGGGAAUCUUUUGCCUGGGGCUACCAUGGAUCUGUAUUUUCAUAAGAAAAAGGCUCAACUGAUGAUUAAUCUUCACCAGAGGAAGCAGGGCCUUUCUUUGGGAUUUUUCUUCAGUUAUUUUUAAUUAAUUUGUACAACUGGCAGUUACAUUAAAGUGCAAAACCCAGGGCUAACGCUCCAGCCGGGCAGGACCCGGCUACCUUUCCUCCCGCAGCCCCAUCUGCUCUGCCCGCUCCCCUGCCCGCUCCCGCAUCCAGACCCUGCGGGGACAGCAUCACCCCUCGGCUCCCCCGGCGCCCCGGGGCACAGAAAGCCUCUUGCCAGGGAGGGCAGGGAGGAAUCGCUGCUUUCCGAUCGGCAUUUUUCUUCGAGCAGAGAGAAUUUUACCCACUGAAGGAAAGGUUGGGUUUUACAUAUUAAUCCCAAUGCAUGGCGCCUUCUUUGGGGAGAAGAAAUAAGAUCAUUGAAUGAAAAGGAGAAAGCACCUUGGUUUUAAAUUCCCAUAGGAUAAAUCCUGGUGUUUUCCAAGGUCCCAGGUGGCUGUAGGAGCGUGGCUCUGCAAAGGGCUCCUGGUCCCAGGGCUGCAUGGGGCACAGGAGGGGUUCGGGCUGAAGCGUACCUGCACGCACAGGGCAAAGAAACCCUUUCUCUCCUUAUCACAGGCACAUUCACUCCAUGUUUUUAUAAAAAUAAUGUCAGUGGCAUUAACUGAGACAAUGUUAACGUCUCCUUUCUGGACUUCUCUCUUGUGUAGCAAAGAGAAAGCUAAUAUGGGUGGAGGAUUAUUAAGGUUGUAAUGUCAGACCAAAGAGAAGAUUUUUAUCUGACGGCCUUAUAAUGAUGGACUGUGACAUACACCGCUUCCAGCUGCUCUGUCCUGUUCUGUGAACAGCCUAGUCUGGAUUCAUUUAACGAGAUUGGCAAAGUGUUGAAUACAGCAUAUGGUGCCCUAAAACCACAGAACUUAUUGACAGCAGCCUAGACUCGCUAAAUAAAAGAACUCCUUCCAAAAGCCUUGGUGUGUGAAGACUCAGCACUUUCCUUCCAGUCACACUAGGUAAAAUCCCAGCCCUGCGCCUGCCAGCGCGGCUCCGCACCCCGCGCGCUCCCCCUGCCCGCAGACCCGGCACGUUAUCCUCACGUGAACACCGCUUGGAAAGCCGCAGCUCGGAAAACGUGUGGAUCUCCUCUGGCUACAGCAUAACUGCCCUGCAGAGCCUCCUUGCUCCCCGGCUGAAGCAACUACAGCUCCUCAGUAAUCACACUAAAGACCCCAUUUUUGAAACGGCUCAGCUUUCAGACCAUUCAUUGGGAUGUAGCGCGGGCUCCCUGCCUCCUGAGAUGAAGCUCAUCAGCUGAUGCUACGGAACAUGAAGACGUUUGUCACAGCUCCCAGGUUAUUCCAGCAAAACCCUGCCAGCCUCCCCUAGUCCCUGAAGAUAACUUGGGCUGUUUGACCUCACUCCCGCAGCUCUGUGGAAAUCGCCCAUCACAAAACCUCCGCACUCGGCGCCACCAGAAACCGCCCGAGCCUGGACUGACACCAACGCACUGGUCCCUCGCUCUGCUCGCCGGCAGUGCAGAAGAGCUUCAAGGCAGGCAGAAGGGCACGCAACCCCUCAAGAACGGCAUUUGCACUGGAUUCGCACACAGGCCCGCACACGGGGUGCAGAGGAGCCAGCCCGUACCACCACGCCGCCUGCCAGUGCGCAGGCUCGGGCGCUGCUCAGCGUCUCACCAGCAGACAAUGAAUAGGGCCAGUGACUCAGGGCCACUUGCUGACGCACCACACUGGGCUAUUCUUCUCUCUCUAGAUGAGUCGUUCAAAGAUUGGACGCAGCCUAUCUCUGAGAGAGGCGCCUGGAAUUAGCUUAACUCUUGGCAGUACAUGAAAAAUCUAAUUUCCUUAAGAAGGAACUGGAUCUGGCUGUCUCGAGGCAGGCACAGGACUGUGCUCCCUCCCUCGGUCUGGCUGUAUGCUUUUGCUAGUCAUCAGAGCAGCUACACAACUCAUUUCUCAGCAGCAGAGCAAACGGAGGAGUCGGAUCCCUAUUUGCACGUCCCAAGUUCUUAGACUGGUGUAAACUAGACUGAAAAUAUACGGACGCUGUGAGGAAUAGUCAAACGAGAAUGGUCCUACCUUUUCUGGGUAGCAACCGCAAGGAAAUCUGCUGGGGGAAACACUCUGCAUCUUCCGUGAGCACCACCUCUCCUAGCCCAACACCCAAGGGACAGCGGGUUCACAGGCUUUGUAUCUGCGGGACUUUGGUAACAGGCAACUGACAACGUGUAAACAUCACCCCAAAGCUCUGAGAUUCAAGUCAAAGCAGAAAUCAAACAUUCAGCUGCUUCUCAGAGCCUCUUUGGUCUGGAAAUGGGCUGGAAACGUCAGGAAACCUGUCCUUCCCACGAGAUGCCCGGUACUUCCUUCUUCCAGCCGGGUAGGAAGUAGCUUUGCUCAUGGAGCUCUGCUUGGUUUUGUUUCACUGCAACAGACCAGAAACCACAAAACUCUUAGUCCUCAACUCUGUGACUUCUUGGACCCCCGCAGGGAUCCGGGAUCGGUUUGAGAUGCAGCAGGACAUUCCUCCUGCUCCAUCCCUGCCUCCCAGCAGGGCUGCAGCGAUCCACCCUGGGCUCUGCCGUAGGCUCCCCGUCAAGAGGCAGCCUAGAAACAGAGGGACCAUCGCACGUCCUCUGUAGGCAACGAGCAGGUUCACAUCCGUAUCGCGACCAGGACACUUUGCAGCUGACUCGUGCUAAAACGCACCCUCCUCCUUCCCCUCGCCCACACCCAGAAUGAACUUUCCUGUCGCUGGUGCCUGGCCCGGAGGCGCAGCGCCGUCCCCCAUGCACCACCUCGCAGUAUUCAUGCUGCAAACAGUUCCUGGUGGGUGGGUGGAGAAUUUGGGAGUUUUCUAGGAAAGCAGGAUCCGAUGUCUGUUUGGGGCUGAAUCCCUGGCUACGCUGAGCUCAGGUUAAAAAAAACAACCAAGUGAGCCAAAUGUGGCUGCACCAGCCAGCACCUUGCCCGGCCGAGUCCAGCUGUCUCAGCUGGGCUCCUAGAAAUUUUCUGAUCUGGGGGGCAUCCAUGGAUAGAAAGUAUUCACAAAAACUCUCUUCCCCAGCUGGGCUUUAUUAGCGCCUCUUCUUUGUGUGGGAGACUCUCCCUACAAGCCAGAUUUCUCCAGCCCUUUUGCCCAGUCCUUCUGCCAUCCAGUCGAUGAUUUGUAGCUGGGAAGCAUGGAGGGAUGCCUUCUGACGCCCUGCAUCCAAUUGUUACCAUGCACGAUCCCUCUCCCUCGCUUAGCCUGUGCACUGCUGGAGUCACAUCUCCCUAACUCCGCUCGGAGACCAGCCGCUCCAGUCAGGAAAGAAAGCAAAAAAGGUUAAACCAAAUCAUCAGGACGCUUGGCAAAGUGGGAUGCAGGAAUGCUGGGGAUGUCCCUCCUGCUCCGUGCCUCCUGCCUCCCUCGCCACCUCCUUGCACAGAAGAGCAGGAAAGGCAAGGCUGGAGGAGCAGGUCAGGGAUGUAAUGAGACGAACCCCGAGUAGUACCACAGUGUAGCAUAAUAGCGUCCCACUCCUGUCCCCCAAAUCCCAUCAGCGAGGGGAAUGCCACGCUGAGGACACUGCACCCCAUGAGGAUGGUUCUGCCUUGAGUUGCUGGGUUUUUCCCCUGGGACAGGAGAGGGG